GACGAACGCUGGCGGCGUGCCUAAUACAUGCAAGUCGAGCGAAGCGGCGGAUGGGUGAGAAACGCGUGGGUAACCUGCCCUUAUGUCUGGGAUACUAUUUGGAAACACAUGCUAAUACCGGAUACUAAAGGAUGGCCCUGCGAUGGAUUAGCCAGUUGGUAAGGUACCGGCCUACCAAGGCAAUGAUGCAUAGCUGGUUUGAGAGACUGACCGGCCACAUUGGUACUGAGACACGGCCCAGACUCCUACGGGAGGCAGCAGUGGGGAAUCUUCCACAAUGGGCGAAAGUCUGAUGGAGCAAUGCCGCGUGAAUGAAGAAGGUUUUCGGGUUGUAAAGCUCUGUUGUUGGAGAAGCGGUAAUCAACGAAUAAGUCACGGCUAACUACGUGCCAGCAGCCGCGGUAAUAC
rnacentral:rRNA from 1 species